rnacentral:rRNA from 1 species
CAAGGCAAUUAGAUGGCGCAGUAGCAUGUCGACCCGCUGCCGCUAGCCGGUCGAAGGCCUCCAGGGUUGAAACGGCUUUUAUCGGGAAGAAGAGCAGGGUGCGUCCUGUGUGACGGUACCGAUGAUAAGCACCGGCUAACUCCGUGCCAGCAGCCGCGGUAAUACGGAGGGUGCGAGCGUUGUCCGGAUUAUUGGGUUUAAAGGGUGCGUAGGUGGCUUUAUAAGUCAGUGGUGAAAUACGGUUGCUCAACAAUCGAGGUGCCAUUGAUACUGCAAAGCUUGAAAUAAUUGGAGGCUGCCGGAAUGGAUGGUGUAGCGGUGAAAUGCAUAGAUAUCAUCCAGAACACCGAUUGCGAAGGCAGGUGGCUACGAUUGGUUUGACACUGAGGCACGAAAGCAUGGGGAGCAAACAGGAUUAGAUACCCUGGUAGUCCAUGCUGUAAACGAUGAGGACUCGUUGUUUGACUGUAAAGUUGAGCGACUUAGGGAAACCGUUAAGUCCUCCACCUGGGGAGUACGCCGGCAACGGUGAAACUCAAAGGAAUUGACGGGGAACGACCAACCAGGGCUAUUCGAUGCUUUUCCCCUCGGUGAAGACCGGCCGGACGGCAACCAGAAUACACCGACCUGCUGCCUCCCUAGG